UGGUUCAGUGGUAGAACUCUCGCCUGCCACGCGGGAGGCCCGGGUUCAAUUCCUGG
rnacentral:tRNA from 1 species